UGUGUGCCGACCUCAGACGUUCUGUGACU
rnacentral:piRNA from 1 species